rnacentral:rRNA from 1 species
UACGUAGGGUGCAAGCGUUGUCCGGAAUUAUUGGGCGUAAAGAGCUCGUAGGCGGUUUGUCGCGUCUGCUGUGAAAACCUAGGGCUUAACCCUGGGCCUGCAGUGGAUACGGGCAGACUAGAGGUAGGUAGGGGAGAAUGGAAUUCCCGGUGUAGCGGUGAAAUGCGCAGAUAUCGGGAGGAACACCGGUGGCGAAGGCGGUUCUCUGGGCCUUACCUGACACUGAGGAGCGAAAGCGUGGGGAGCGAACAGG